GAUAAAUAUAGCUGUUUUGGAAAAGCUCUAAAUGCAGCUGAAAUCGAAACAAGGUUACUCGAAAUCAGCUAAAUUAUUCGCACGGAUUUAAACGAUAUCUACAUUACAAUAAAAGAAACUUGGCAGAGAGACAAACCAAAAUCUAAUACAUAUUCAGUAGAUAUUGGCUGCUUACCUGGGUGCGCCAAUCUGCAAGAUGACGGAUACAGACCAACAAGCCGUCGUAUAUGAGGUGAAAAUUUCGAUGUAUUUUCCAGGAUAAUUUAAUAACGUUAUUGGAUGUUUACAAGGAAUAUUCUCUAUAAGAUGCAUUUCAUAAGACAGAAAUUAUUUCUACAAAGAAUUAAUCAUUUUAUAAACUGUAAAUAAAGGAUGAAAAGAAAGUUUGUUCUGGUUAAGCAAACAGUAGUAUUGUUUUAUUGAGAUGUGAAAAAGGCAAUAAGAAAGGACCAUAUACUACAAAUGAUCACGUUUGGUUUUAUUACAAGUUCAGAAAAAUAUGGCAUUCACUGAAAGAUUGUAUUUAUAACAUAUUACUAUGAAAGAAAAUUUUCACUAAAUUUCAUGUUUGGGGCGGGAGAUUCGAAUGGGGAGGGAGGGGAGAGGGAAAUGGGUGGAUGGAUGGAUAUGCUUUUGUAUUUUUUACAUAAAAGCAUUUACAGGCAAUAAUUAAAGAUACGGCAAAAAUGUUAGUUCGAAUAACAAUAUUAGAGCUAAUGCUUUUUAAAAUGUUCUGAAUUUAAUGCAUAAAUUAUAUUUCCUCCAAUGUGAAAAUCAGAAAAGUACAGACUUUUGCAGCAGAAAUAACAUUAAUUAUACAUGUCCUACUUUUAAUGUUUUGCUUCUUCGCCUAGUUACUAUACUCCUUUAUAACUUUAAAGAUUACGAAGAUUAUGUGUAGGCGCUGAAUAAAAUGUUGUGGUCUUUUACAUAUCAAGAUUGUUCAUUUAUCAAAGAAUAUAUGAAACUUUCCAAAAAUAAUAAUAAUUAUUAUUAAAAUUUUGUGUGCUGGUAGUUGUAUUAAGACUGAGGGCAGAGACUAGCACAGGUGUAUUGACAAUAGCUUUGAAGAAGUCAACUGUGGCUGUCAGCGGGUAAAUGUUCCACUGACCUACUGUUCUGGGGAAAAACAGAGGAAUAUUUGUAGGAAUCUUUUGAUGUGCUAAUGUAUCUAGUCUUGUGAUGCUGGUUCACUAUUCCAUUUUGAACGACUUUUGCGUUCAGUCUUUAAGUGUAU